CGUAAGCGCACGCAGGCGGUCUGUUAAGUUGGAUGUGAAAUCCCCGGGCUUAACCUGGGAACUGCAUUCAAAACUGACAGGCUAGAGUCUCGUAGAGGGGGGUAGAAUUCCAGGUGUAGCGGUGAAAUGCGUAGAGAUCUGGAGGAAUACCGGUGGCGAAGGCGGCCCCCUGGACGAAGACUGACGCUCAGGUGCGAAAGCGUGGGGAGCAAACAGGAUUAGAUACCCUGGUAGUCCACGCUGUAAACGAUGUCGAUUUGGAGGUUGUGCCCUUGAGGCGUGGCUUCCGGAGCUAACGCGUUAAAUCGACCGCCUGGGGAGUACGGCCGCAAGGUUAAAACUCAAAUGAAUUGACGGGGGCCCGCACAAGCGGUGGAGCAUGUGGUUUAAUUCGAUGCAACGCGAAGAACCUUACCUACUCUUGACAUCCAGAGAACACAGCAGAGAUGCUUUGGUGCCUUCGGGAGCUCUGAGACAGGUGCUGCAUGGCUGUCGUCAGCUCGUGUUGUGAAAUGUUGGGUUAAGUCCCGGCACGAGCGCAACCCUUAUCCUCUGUUGCCAGCACGUUAUGGUGGGAACU
rnacentral:rRNA from 1 species